ensembl:lncRNA
GGCUGGGCCUGGCUUGGUCUCCUGGCUGCCGGCUUCCGCGCCCUCGGCCUGCCUCAGUUUCCUCCCUGCGGUUUAACGCGGGCCACGGAGGGGAGACGUGAUGCCUCUCAGGGCCGUGGGGACACUGCCGUUGAGUUAAGCGUGCAGAGAGCCAGGGUUAGUGCUGGGCAGGAAGGCCUGGGAAGCAAGGAGCCAAGACUCCCAUUCCCCGCUGCCCUCUAGUCCCCCCUGCCCCGGGCCUCAUCCCCCUCCUCUCCCUGUCCUCUGCUCCAGCCGCACCAGCCUCCAGCUUUGCCUCCGCCUGGAACACCUACAGGGCUCACAUCUUCACCUCCUUCACGUUUUUGCUCAGAUCUCACCUCUCCAAGGAGGCCUGCCCUGACCAUCCUGUUUCACGUUGCCCCCCUGAGGCCCACCCAGCACCCAGGAGAGCUGUUUUCCAUGGCCCUCAUCAGUCCCUGCUGCUCUGUAAUUCAGUCCCUAGCUGCUGUCCAAUUCACGCCUUUGUUACUUUUCCUGUUGACCGUCUGUCUUUCUCCUCUAGAGUGUAAACCAACCAGAGUUCGCUGCCGUAUCCCGGGGAGCCCUGCCUGGCCCACAGUAGGCCUGCAGCCCACAUGUGUGCAGUGAAUAGUUUCGGAUGGCCCGGGGCCAGGCUGUGUCUUGGGUCAUCACCCUGCUCUACCAUCGCCGGGGCCUGGUGGGGGAGAAGCGGAUGUUUCACGUGUAUAUACGUGUCUGUGUGUCGCCUGUGUGUGUAGCCUCUCUGACCCCCAGGGAGGCCUGCAAGUUUCCCCAGGCUUGGAGCCCAUCUUUGGCAGGAGCCCUGUGUGACUCGGUUUCCAGGGAAGCUCUUGAGAGCUAUGCGGGGUCCUGGGGUGGAGUGAGGCUUCCUCAGCUGCGUCCCAGGUGUGAAUCGGUGAUGGGGUGGAUGGAUGAGGCUAUAGACAAGAGUGUGUCAGGGGGUGGGCCCCACAGACCUUAGACACAGGGGAGACUGGUCCAUCUGCUCAGCCUCCGUUCACGGGAGAAGGUCUGGGGAGGAGGAGGGAUGGCACUGAUGAGGAAAAGCCUUUGGCGUCUCCUGUCGGUUUUUCCCAGAGUGGAGAGGGUCACGCAUACAGUAGGUGUUCAUGAAACCAGUGAUCAUAGAUGGCUAGCCUUGGAAGAGAUGCUGGAGGUAACCUGGGCCCUCCGAGGCCACCAGGCCUUGCACUCCUCCAGGACAGACUGUGCCCAGCCACCCUGCCCCUCGCACACGUACAGGGCCUGGCACAGAGUAGGUGCUCAGUGAAUGCCUGCUGGCCUGCCUGGAGCACCAUGUCACCACGCGGGGGCCUUGCAUGCUCCAGGCGGUGGGAAUCCUUGGAUGCGUGGGCCUGAGGACACGGCGCCCCCGCAGCUGACCCCAGUCUAUUUCUAGGCCUCUGGCCCCCCAUCCAGCUUCAGUAUGUGUCCUGGGAAGAGAAUGCCGACAGACGCGGCCCAAAUUCUGCCUCUGCCGCUUGCCAGCCUUGACUUUGGAGCUUGUGAGAAGCCUACAGCUCCUAGGAGAGCGGGACCCAAGGGCAUGGGAGCAGCAGUCUAUUGACCAACAGACCAACAGACAGAGACAGACCGCCCACCCUUUCCAAAGUACAUCCACUUCCUUUGUCAACUUUUCAUCACUCAUCACAAGGCCCCGCCAGCAGGAUCAGCUGGGCAAGGCAUUUUAACCUCUGGGCCUCAGUUUCUUCACCUGGAAAAUGGGCACAGCUUCCCUGUUGGCUCAGAUGGUAAAGAAACUGCCUGCAGUGCAGAAGACCUCCGUUGGAUUCCUGAGUUGGGAAGAUUCCCUGGAGAAGGAACAUUUUAGUUUUCUUGUCCACUCUGGUUUUCUUGCCUGGCGGGCUACAGUCCAAAGGGUCGCAAAGAGCUGGACACGACUGAGUGACUAACACGGACUAACUAAUGCCCCAGCUCUGAGAGUUCCUCAGAGACGGGGAAGGGGAGUUCGGUCGGUUCCAGCCAAAGUCGCAAAGGUGGAAGGUGACAGAACUAGGGUGUGUAUUUGGGUCAAACCCUGAGCUGGUGUCAGAACUCCCUGCUGGAUGGAUCAAGGUGCGGGUAGCAUGCGUGUUAGCCAGAGGCCCUUAUUUGGCCCUCCCCCACCUGGAGCCCACAGGGAGGUUUGCCCCAGAUGAGCACCCAGCCUGCCUUGAACCCACCACUGACAGCCCCCCAAGCAGCCUCUUAGCACUGCAGUCCAUGUGAGCCCCAGCUAAUGGAUGGAGGGGCCUCUCCUUGCUACCUCUUAGGUCUGUCCAGCCUCCAAAGGCAGCUUUGUUUCCUUAUUCCAGGCCUGGGUGGGUAUAAUCACUGUCCAUUCUCAGCACAGCUUAGCCUGGUCCAUCCACUCAGGCCCACCAUUCCUGGGGACACCUGUGAAGUGCUCCUUUGGGCCCAAGGCAAAGCUGUAUCAGCAUUCAAGGAGCAGCCUUCCCAAGGUCAAGGUUUCCUGUGGUAUGACCAGUUCCCUUCUCUGUGCCACCCAGCAGUGAAAUGCCCUCUCUGGCUGCAAGAGUAUUCUGUCUUCAUCUAUCUACCCAUCUUCUGUUCUGUCUCAUAUAGAAUCAGGCUUGGCUUUGAGUAAUAAAGUC